rnacentral:rRNA from 1 species
CAGUCGCCGCGGUAAUACAGAGGGUGCGAGCGUUAAUCGGAUUUACUGGGCGUAAAGCGUGCGUAUGCGGCUUCUUAAGUCGGAUGUGAAAUCCCUGAGCUUAACUUAGGAAUUGCAUUCGAUACUGGGAAGCUAGAGUAUGGGAGAGGAUGGUAGAAUUCCAGGUGUAGCGGUGAAAUGCGUAGAGAUCUGGAGGAAUACCGAUGGCGAAGGCAGCCAUCUGGCCUAAUACUGACGCUGAGGUACGAAAGCAUGGGGAGCAAACAGGAUUAGAGACCCCUGUAGUCCCUGUCUCUUAUAC